CAGCUAGUUGGCGGGGUAACGGCCCACCAAGGCAAUGAUCAGUAGCCGGCCUGAGAGGGCGCACGGCCACACUGGAACUGAAACACGGUCCAGACUCCUACGGGAGGCAGCAGUGGGGAAUUUUGCGCAAUGGGGGAAACCCUGACGCAGCAACGCCGCGUGGAGGAUGAAGCCCCUUGGGGUGUAAACUCCUUUCGACCCGGACGAUAAUGACGGUACGGGUGGAAGAAGCACCGGCUAACUCUGUGCCAGCAGCCGCGGUAAUACAGAGGGUGCAAGCGUUGUUCGGAAUUAUUGGGCGUACAGGGUGCGUAGGCGGUGCGGUAAGUCUUCUGUGAAAUCUCCGGGCUCAACCCGGAGCCUGCAGAGGAAACUGCCGUGCUGGAGUA
rnacentral:rRNA from 1 species